rnacentral:rRNA from 1 species
UACAGAGGACUGCAAGCGUUAUUCGGAGUUCAACUGGGCGUAAAGGGUGCGCAGGCGCCGUGUGUGUGAGGCGUGAAAGCCCGGAGCUCGAACUCCGGAAUUGCACCUCAAACUACACGGCUAGAGCAUUGGAGAAGGGUAGCGGAAUUCACGGUGUAGCAGUGAAAUGCGUAGAUAUCGUGAGGAACACCAGAGGCGAAGGCGGCUACCUGGACAAUUGCUGACGCUCAGGCACGAAAGCGUGGGGAGCAAAAGGG